AUGCAGAGGAAGCUGGGAGCUGUGCUGGGGAUUCUGUGGGUGCAGAUUUGCUGGGUGAGAGGAGUUGAGGUGGAGCAGAGUCCUUCAGCCCUGAGUCUCCACGAGGGAACCAAUUCUACAUUGACAUGCAAGUUUUCUACAACCAUGAACACUGUGCAGUGGUUCCAGCAGAAUCCCAGGGGCAGCCUCAUAAAUCUUUUUUACAUGGCUCCAGGAACAAAGGAGAAUGGGAGGUUAACUGCAACAUUCAAUUCUAAGGAGCGCUACAGCACCCUGCACAUCAGGGACGCCCAGCUGGAGGACUCAGGCACCUACCUCUGUGCUGCUGAAGCACAGUGCUCCCAGCAAGCCUGA